AAGCAGUCAUCAAGGGCAUACCCGUUGAUCAAGAGCGAAAGUUAAGGGUUCGAAGACGAUCAGAUACCGUCGUAGUCUUAACUAUAAAUGAUGCAAACCAGGGAUAGGACACUGUCCAUCUCGACUCCUCCUGGACCUUCGAGAAAUUACAGUCUUUGGGUUCUGGGGGGAGUAUGGUCGCAAGGCUGAAACUUAAAGGAAUUGACGGAAGGGCACACAAAGAGUGGAACCUGCGGCUUAAUUUGACUCAACACGGGAAAACUCACCAGGUCCGGAUACACGUAUGAAAGUCAAGCUGAAAGACUUUACUCAAUGAUGUAAGUGGUGGUGCAUGGUCGUUCUUAGUUCGUGGAUUGAUUUGUCUGGUCUAUUCCGAUAACGAGCGAGACCCCGACGUUCCUAAUAGGGGUGGCAGCCAGGCCGGUCGCAAGGCCGGUUAGCUCGCCACCUGAAGUUAUACUUCUUAGACGUAUCAAAGCCGAUAAGGUUCUUGAAAUGGGUUAAUAACAGGUCAGUCAUGCCCUUAGAUGUUCUGGGCCGCACGCGCGUUACAAUGGCAUGUAUAACAAGUGCUUGAAUAAGGCGUCUCCGGGGCCGAAAGGUCUCGGUAACCCUUAGUCCCUGCUUUGACUGGGACAGAUCUUUGCAAUUAUUGGUCUCAAACGAGGAAUUUUUAGUAAUCGUAGGUCAUUAACCUGCGUUGAAUGCGUCCCUGCCCUUUGUACACACCGCC
rnacentral:rRNA from 1 species